GCUGGGUGUGGUGGUGCACACCUGUAGUCCCAGCUACUCAGGAGGCUUAGGUGGGAGGAUCUCUUGAGCCCAGGAGGUUGAGGCUGCAGUGAGCUGAGAUCACACCACUGCACUCCAGCCUGGGUGACAGAGCGAUACUCUGUCUAAA
ensembl:misc_RNA Metazoa_SRP Metazoan signal recognition particle RNA